GGACCGUAUACAAGUCUCCUGGGAUGGAGCAUCAUGGAGGGUGAGAAUCCUGUCUCUGAUACGGACUACCAGUGCAUAGUGGUAUGCUCUCAACGAGUCGAGUUGUUUGGGAAUGCAGCUCAAAAUGGGUGGUAAAUUCCAUCUAAAGCUAAAUAUUGGCGAGAGACCGAUAGCGAACAAGUACCGUGAGGGAAAGAUGAAAAGAACUUUGGAAAGAGAGUUAAACAGUACGUGAAAUUGCUGAAAGGGAAACGCUUGAAGUCAGUCGCGUCUGCUGGGAAUCAGCCUCGCUUUUGCGUGGUGUACUUUCUGGUUUGACGGGUCAGCAUCAAUUUUGACCACUGGAAAAAGUUGGGAGGAAUGUGGCAGCUCCGGCUGUGUUAUAGCCUCUCAUCGUAUACAGUGGUUGGGAUUGAGGAACGCAGCACGCCGCAAGGCCGGGUCUUCGGACUACGUUCGUGCUUAGGAUGCUGGCAUAAUGGCUUUAAGCGACCCGUCUUGAAACACGGACCAAGGAGUCUAACAUGCCUGCGAGUGUUUGGGUGGAAAACUCGAGCGCGCAAUGAAAGUGAAAGUUGAGAUCCCUGUCGUGGGGAGCAUCGACGCCCGGACCAGAACUUUUGGGACGGAUCCGCGGUAGAGCAUGUAUGUUGGGACCCGAAAGAUGGUGAACUAUGCCUGAAUAGGGUGAAGCCAGAGGAAACUCUGGUGGAGGCUCGUAGCGGUUCUGACGUGCAAAUCGAUCGU
rnacentral:rRNA from 1 species